UACGGAGGGGGCUAGCGUUGUUCGGAAUUACUGGGCGUAAAGCGCACGUAGGCGGCUUUGUAAGUUAGAGGUGAAAGCCCAGGGCUUAACCCUGGAAUUGCCUUUAAGACUGCAUCGCUAGAAUCGUGGAGAGGUAAGUGGAAUUCCGAGUGUAGAGGUGAAAUUCGUAGAUAUUCGGAAGAACACCAGUGGCGAAGGCGACUCACUGGACACGUAUUGACGCUGAGGUGCGAAAGCGUGGGGAGCAAACAGG
rnacentral:rRNA from 1 species